rnacentral:lncRNA from 1 species
UCUUGGACCAUGGAAAUUGUUAAUUUUGCACUCCCUUGAAGGUAGGCAUCACCACGUGACUUGUUUAAGCCAAUGAUAUAUGAGCAGAAGUGACAUUGUCACUUCCAAGUAGAACUGCUGGCUUAACUCUCUCUCUUCCUCUGCCUUACAGGGAAACAAAUUUGACAUGGAGGAACAACAUCAAGCCAUGACAUGGGAAACAGCUGCUCUGGAUUGUCAACCAGACAUGCACUGGACCUUGUGAUGACCAAAAGGCCCAGAUGUCUUAAAUGAAGUUCCAGCCGCCUCGCAUGCAAGUGCAGAGGAAACUCCCUACC